rfam:Sediminispirochaeta smaragdinae DSM 11293 chromosome, complete genome.
GGUCAAGCGAAUAAGGGUCCACGGUGGAUGCCUUGGAGCUGUCUGGCGAGGAAGGACGUGGUAAGCUGCGAAAAGUCCCGGGGAGGAGCAAACAUCUGCUGAUCCGGGGAUGUCCGAAUGGGGUAACCCGGCCGUUUAGAUGACGGUCACUGUACGGUGAAUCCAUAGCCGUAUGGAGCGAGACGCAGGGAACUGAACCAUCUAAGUACCUGCAGGAAGAGAAAUCAAACGAGAUUCCCUAAGUAGCGGCGAGCGAAAGGGGAAGAGCCUAAACCUAUAGUGUGUAAGUUCUACAGCGUUGCAUUAUGGGGGUUGUAAGCGGUUUCUGGACUGGGUGUAGAACCGGUCGCGCAGUGAUAAAACAAUUGUAUAGCGGAAUGCUACUGGAAGGGCAGCCAGAGAGGGUGAAAGCCCCGUAUGCGAAAUAGAAUUGACUGCGUGGGAGACGAGCUUGAGUACGACGGGACACGAGGAAUCUUGUCGGAAGCAGGGGAGACCACUCUCCAAGGCUAAAUACACGACAGCUACCGAUAGCGAAUAGUACCGUGAGGGAAAGGUGAAAAGUACCCCGGGAGGGGAGUGAAAUAGAACCUGAAACCGUGGACUUACAAGCGGUCGAAGCCAUUGAAAGAUGGUGACGGCGUGCCUUUUGUAGAAUGAGCCUGCGAGUUACCGUAUGUAGCGAGGUUAAGGGAUAGGAGUCCCGAAGCCGGAGGGAAACCGAGUCUUAAUAGGGCGACUAGUUGCAUGUGGUAGACCCGAAGCCAGGUGAUCUAUCUAUGGCCAGGUUGAAGCUCAGGUAAAACUGAGUGGAGGACCGAACCCUAGUCCGUUGAAAAGGGCAGGGAUGAGCUGUGGAUAGGAGUGAAAGGCUAAUCAAACCUGGAGAUAGCUGGUACUCUCCGAAAUAGCUUUAGGGCUAGCCUUGCAAGGACAGACGCGGAGGUAGAGCACUGGUUGGGCUAGGGCCCUUCACCGGGUACCAACCCCAGAUAAACUCCGAAUGCCGCGUGUUAAUAUGCAGGAGUCAGACUACGGGUAAUAAGGUCCGUGGUCAAAAGGGAAACAGCCCAGACCGUCAGCUAAGGUCCCGAAACUAUGCUAAGUGGAAAAGGAAGUGAAACGGCGAAGACAGCCAGGAGGUUGGCUUAGAAGCAGCCACACCUUCAAAGAGUGCGUAAUAGCUCACUGGUCGAGUCGUUUUGCGCUGAUAAUGUAACGGGGCUAAGCAUAGUACCGAAGCUACGGCAUCGUCUUUGGACGGUGGGUAGGAGAGCGUUCCACAUACCGAUGAAGGUGAACCGGGAGGUUUGCUGGAGGGAGUGGAAGUGAGAAUGCAGGCAUGAGUAACGAAAAGAGGGGUGAGAUCCCCCUCCGCCGAAAGCCUAAGGUUUCCAGGGUUAAGGUAAUCUGCCCAAGGGUUAGUCGGCCCCUAAGGCGAGGCCGAAAGGCGUAGCCGAUGGGAAACGGGUUAAUAUUCCCGUACCUCUUCCAAUUUUGAUGGGAUGACGCAUGAGGCGAAGCGAGUCCGGGCGAUGGUAGUCCCGGUCCAAGCGAUAAGCUGAUGAGUGGUGUAGGCAAAUCCGCACCAUGAGGUGAGUCGUGAAGGCGAGUGAAGCUACGGCGGAACGAAGCACGUGGAGUCAAGGUGACGAGAAAUAAUCUCUAAAGUUAGGUUGGAAGGGACCGUACCGUAAACCGACACAGGUAGGCGGGCUGAGAAUGCUAAGGCGCUCGGGAGAACUCGCGUUAAGGAACUCGGCAAAAUGCACACGUAACUUCGGGAGAAGUGUGGCCCUUUUUGGAUGUUAAAGUUUGAAGGGGGUUGCAGAGAAAUGGUUCAAGCGACUGUUUACCAAAAACACAGGUCUGUGCGAAUCUGUAAAGAGACGUAUACGGACUGACACCUGCCCGGUGCUGGAAGGUUAAGGGGAGUGGUUAGACCUAGAGUCGAAGCUGCGAACUGAAGCCCCAGUAAACGGCGGCCGUAACUAUAACGGUCCUAAGGUAGCGAAAUUCCUUGUCGGGUAAGUUCCGACCCGCACGAAUGGUGUAACGACUUGAACGCUGUCUCAACGCGAGACCCGGUGAAAUUGAAGUAUCGGUGAAGAUGCCGAUUACCCGUAGUUAGACGGAAAGACCCCGUGAACCUUUACUGUAGCUUGGCAUUGAAAUCUGGACUAACAUGUGUAGGAUAGGUGGGAGGCUGAGAAGCAUGGUCGUUAGGCUGUGUGGAGCCGUUGGUGAAAUACCACCCUUGUUAGUUUAGGUUUCUAACGGUGUCCAUGAAACUGGAUAACGGACAAUGUCAGGUGGGCAGUUUGACUGGGGCGGUCGCCUCCCAAAGAGUAACGGAGGCGCGCGAAGGUCACCUCACACUGGUUGGAAAUCAGUGCGCGAGUGUAAAGGCACAAGGUGGCUUGACUGCGAGACAAACAAGUCGAGCAGGUACGAAAGUAGGUCUUAGUGAUCUGGCGGUAGCGUGUGGAAGCGCCGUCACUUAACGGAUAAAAGGUACUCCGGGGAUAACAGGCUGAUCCUGCCCAAGAGUUCAUAUCGACGGCAGGGUUUGGCACCUCGAUGUCGGCUCAUCGCAUCCUGGGGCUGGAGCAGGUCCCAAGGGUUUGGCUGUUCGCCAAUUAAAGCGGUACGCGAGCUGGGUUCAGAACGUCGCGAGACAGUUCGGUCCCUAUCUGCUACGGGCGUUGGAUGAUUGAGGGGAGCUACUCCUAGUACGAGAGGACCGGGGUGGACGAACCUCUGGUGUACCAGUUGUCGUGCCAACGGCAUCUGCUGGGUAGCCAAGUUCGGAAGGGAUAACCGCUGAAAGCAUCUAAGUGGGAAGCCCACCUCAAGAUGAGUCAUCCCAUCACCUUUAAGGUGACUAAAGACACCAGGGAGAAGACCUGGUUGAUAGGCUGGAAGUCUAAGCAUGGUAACAUGUUCAGCUUACCAGUACUAAUUCGUCGUGAGGCUUGACCAU